rnacentral:rRNA from 1 species
UUCACCUACGGGACGCAGCAGUGGGGGAUAUUGGACAAUGGGGGAAACCCUGAUCCAGCGAUGCCGCGUGAGGGAAGAAGGUUUUCGGAUUGUAAACCUCUGUGGAGGGGGACGAUAAUGACGGUACCUGACUAAGAAGCCCCGGCUAACUACGUGCCAGCAGCCGCGGUAAUACGUAGGGGGCAAGCGUUAUCCGGAUUUACUGGGUGUAAAGGGUGCGUAGGUGGCAGGGCAAGUCAGAUGUGAAAGCCCGGGGCUCAACCCCGGUACUGCAUUUGAAACUGUCCAGCUGGAGGGCAGGGGAG